UAUAUAUUCGCCGGAACAUACAACAAAGCUGAUUAAAAUCACGUGGAUAAGGGCCUCCAGUGCCAACGAUCUUCAGGUUAACUUAACGAAUGGAGCAGCUGACUCCGACUGCGACUGGAGCGGCGACAGAAUUUGUGUGCGUUGCGGGCGAGUAACCAAAAUGGAACUGGAAUGGCCCCUAGUGGCGCAGUGGGUCAGCACUUUGUUGGCCAUGCAACUAGGUGGUGGAAGGCAAAUCCCCAUUGAGCCGCAGAAAUAUGGACACUUAUAACCCCACCCCGUCCAAUAUUCUCUGGCAUGCCGCAUUGUCCAACGGACCUCUUGCAAAUGCAAUUGCAAAUGCCACUUGGCAGCUGCCAGUCACAUGUCCGCCGCUUGAAUGGGCGCAAGAGUUUGUGGCCAAAAGAAAAAACUAACGAAACGAAAUCGAUUGGCCCUGCCAUUGGCCAUGCAAAGCUUGCGGCAAUUAAUUGGCAUUAAUCAACUUAAUUAUGAAAUAUUCGAUAAGAUUGCCACUCCACUCCACAGCCAACGAAGCUUGUGUGGAAAAACGAAAUUAUCAUGGAAUGGGUUCGAGAUUUUGGGGCUCUAAUGGUAACUAAAUGUGGCCAAGUCGAACGGUUAUUUCGGUUCUAUAAAACUCUAUCAAGAAUAAUUAUUAUAAAAAAAGAGGGAAAUUAUAUACUUUAAUGUGCUACAAUUAUCCCCAUAUAACGUGUACCUUUUCUAUCACUAAAAAGACAACAAUAUAGUUCAAAGAGGUUCUCCAAUUACGAUCGCCGAACUGGGUUGUUCCUCAUUAUCAUUCUAAUGGAACUUCCCCGCCAUAUUUUCCCAACCAAAUGGCGAACUCAUUCGAAAGCUCCGUGGUCAGAAGCAGCGGGUUCCUCUAUGGCAAUUGUCGAAAAGAAUUCCCAGAAGACUCAGACUGCUCACGGAAUGACUUCUGGCUGUACGAAUGACAUGGCUGAGUGACUAGUGACUGACUGCGCCCGAGAUAUUGUCAUUUCCAUUUUGAGGUCGGCUAAUUUGCAUAAAUUGAUAUCCGCCCGCAGUCUGGGAGAUGCAGAUGCAGAUGCAUGCACCCAGUGCAGUGUGUAGUAAGAUUGUGGGCUUCAUGGGCACUCAAUUCGGUUCAGGCCAAUCCCAGAUGCCAGUGGCUUCCGUUCUGGCCACAUGGUGAAAUCAACGUCCAAUUUCCACAACUUCAAUUUAUUGUCAUUAAAAUGUAACCCAUUAAAUAAAUUAAAAGAUCGAAAUAUAAGUGUUUC